rnacentral:rRNA from 2 species
AGAGUUUGAUCCUGGCUCAGGAUGAACGCUAGCGGCAGGCUUAACACAUGCAAGUCGAGGGGCAGCAUAAUGGAUAGCAAUAUCUAUGGUGGCGACCGGCGCACGGGUGCGUAACGCGUAUGCAACCUACCUUUAACAGGGGGAUAACACUGAGAAAUUGGUACUAAUACCCCAUAAUAUCAUAGAAGGCAUCUUUUAUGGUUGAAAAUUCCGAUGGUUAGAGAUGGGCAUGCGUUGUAUUAGCUAGUUGGUGGGGUAACGGCUCACCAAGGCGACGAUACAUAGGGGGACUGAGAGGUUAACCCCCCACACUGGUACUGAGACACGGACCAGACUCCUACGGGAGGCAGCAGUGAGGAAUAUUGGUCAAUGGACGCAAGUCUGAACCAGCCAUGCCGCGUGCAGGAUGACGGCUCUAUGAGUUGUAAACUGCUUUUGUACUAGGGUAAACUCACCUACGUGUAGGUGACUGAAAGUAUAGUACGAAUAAGGAUCGGCUAACUCCGUGCCAGCAGCCGCGGUAAUACGGAGGAUUCAAGCGUUAUCCGGAUUUAUUGGGUUUAAAGGGUGCGUAGGCGGUUUGAUAAGUUAGAGGUGAAAUGUUAGGGCUCAACCCUGAAACUGCCUCUAAUACUGUUGGACUAGAGAGUAGUUGCGGUAGGCGGAAUGUAUGGUGUAGCGGUGAAAUGCUUAGAGAUCAUACAGAACACCGAUUGCGAAGGCAGCUUACCAAACUAUAUCUGACGUUGAGGCACGAAAGCGUGGGGAGCAAACAGGAUUAGAUACCCUGGUAGUCCACGCAGUAAACGAUGAUAACUCGUUGUCGGCGAUACACAGUCGGUGACUAAGCGAAAGCGAUAAGUUAUCCACCUGGGGAGUACGUUCGCAAGAAUGAAACUCAAAGGAAUUGACGGGGGCCCGCACAAGCGGAGGAACAUGUG